rnacentral:rRNA from 1 species
GACGAACGCUGGCGGCGUGCUUAACACAUGCAAGUCGAACGGAAAGGCCCUGCUUUUGUGGGGUGCUCGAGUGGCGAACGGGUGAGAAACACGUGAGUAACCUGCCCUUGACUUUGGGAUAACUUCAGGAAACUGGGGCUAAUACCGGAUAGGAGCUCCUGCUGCAUGGUGGGGGUUGGAAAGUUUCGGCGGUUGGGGAUGGACUCGCGGCUUAUCAGCUUGUUGGUGGGGUAGUGGCUUACCAAGGCUUUGACGGGUAGCCGGCCUGAGAGGGUGACCGGCCACAUUGGGACUGAGAUACGGCCCAGACUCCUACGGGAGGCAGCAGUGGGGAAUAUUGCACAAUGGGCGGAAGCCUGAUGCAGCAACGCCGCGUGCGGGAUGACGGCCUUCGUGUUGGAAACCGCUUUCGCCUGUGACGAAGCGUGAGUGACGGUAAUGUGUAAAGAAGCACCGGCUAACUACGUG